CCUACGGGAGGCAGCAGUGAGGAAUAUUGGUCAAUGGGCGGGAGCCUGAACCAGCCAAGCCGCGUGAGGGAAGAAGGUACAGCGUAUCGUAAACCUCUUUUGUCAGGGAACAAAGGCGGGGACUAGUCCCCGGAUGAGGGUACCUGAAGAAAAAGCAUCGGCUAACUCCGUGCCAGCAGCCGCGGUAAUACGGAGGAUGCGCGCGUUAUCCGGAUUUAUGGGGGUAAAGGGGUGCGCAGGCGGCCUGUUAAGUCAGCGGUAAAAGCCCGGGGCUCAACCCCGGCGAGCCGUUGAAACUGGCGGGCUGGAGUGGGAGAGAAGUACGCGGAAUGCGCGGUGUAGCGGUGAAAUGCUUAGAUAUCGCGCAGAACCCCGAUUGCGAAGGCAGCGUACCGGCUCCACACUGACGCUGAGGCACGAAAGCGUGGGUAUCGAACAGGAUUAGAUACCCUAGUAGUC
rnacentral:rRNA from 1 species